rnacentral:sRNA from 1 species
CAGCGACAGCGUGUCGAGAUGGUCUCCG